rnacentral:lncRNA from 1 species
UACUUCAAAGGACAGACACUAGCCAUCAAACAUAGGUGGGGAAAGACGCUGGUGAUUUUACUAAUCAUAGUCCAACCAGCCCCCAAGCCUAAAGAUAGCCGUGCCUGCCUCCCAGAAGUUGAAUGGAAGUCUCUGAACGGACUCGAGGUCAUUGAAAGGUUUUUUUUAGAUUUAUUUAUUAUAUUUUAUGUGUGUAAGUGUUUUGCCUGCUUGUAUGUCUGUGCCUGCAGAGGUCAGAGUGCAUCAGAUCCCCUGGAACUGGGGUUACAGGUGGUUGUGGGUCAUCGUGUGGGUGCUGGGAGCUACUGAGCCAUCUCAUUAAAAAAAAAAAAACAAA